AAGCUCUAAAAUGUAAUAUAAGGUUUCUUCAAGUUCUAACUAGUUCCAUCUAUCUUUGCUUGGCAAGUCAGUGUUUAAACUAGCAAGAAGGAAUCAAGAUCGAUAUUGUGAGAAAGUGUUCACGGUAUUGGUAGGGAAGUCCAAGCCUGUGACACUAAGCUCGAAUAAAAGACUUAAGAUGUUAUCGUCUUAUAUAGAAUCCACAACCACAACAAAAGCAUUGAUUGAAUAACGAUGAAAUAAGAACUGGACAAAACAGCGGUGGAGCAAGAAGUAAACAAAAUCAAUCGAACCAAUUAGUUCCAACAAUAGAAGAAGAUCAUCCCAGUCCCUUAUUCCGUCAACUGCUCCUUAUGAGGGUCAAACAAUCACUCCAACCAUCAAUUUCCGACUUCCGUUAGAAUGCAGUUGCCUGAAUCUAGUGAAGAUAUAUUUCAUGAGAGUCAUUGCACCAAUGAUCACUACAAUCCAUUGCCCCAUGAGGCACAAGAGUAGUCUGAACAACUCCAUACGGACAUUGGAAGGCGACUAGCGGAGACAGGCCCAUCAAACACAACGGUGAAGUAGUUGGAUAUCGGAAGACAUUGGUUUACCACAAGCACAAAUCUCCUGUCAGUACUGUCAAGAAGACCGAUUGGAUCAUGCAUGAGAACAAACUGAAACAUCUGCCAAAGUUGGUCGAUGCAGCCGAAAACAUUAAUAGGCUGUCAGAUGAGAUCGUGCUAUGCAGAAUCCACAACCACAACAAAAAAUAUAGACGAAACUGCGAUGGAGCAAGAUACACACAAAAUCAAUCUAUUCCAACACUAGAAGAAGCAUGAGCAACAGAUCUUUUCAUCAGCUCCUGAAACUAGUCAUAGUACCAAUCCAUUGCCCCAAGAUUCUUUGACGGUGUUGACGAACCCUUGAUGGACGAAGAUUUACAAUUCUUGUAUGAUAUCAUGAUCAUGUAAUUUUGAUCUUAGACUUGUAAUAUACUUGACUUGAAGCUAUCUUGUUUCAAUUUCAUUUGUUCUCAUACUUCUGUUUGUGAACUUAUGGUGGGUCUGAAGUCUGAACAAAACAAGUGAAGAUCCUGAUGUAUC